rnacentral:lncRNA from 1 species
GAAAAAGGGAAGAGAGAGGAAGAGGGAGAGAGGGAGGGGGAAGGAAGGAUGGAGGGAAGGAAAAAGGGAGGAGGGAGGGAGCACAGGGAAAAACUGGAUGGCACCUCUCCAAGUGGGUUCCAAGUGUGUUAGUGUCAGGUUCCGUGGAACAUUUCUGGGGACACACUGUCUGAAAACCAGAACCAACAGAACCAAUCAGAGCCAACAACACUGUGGUCUUUCUGAAUAUCUGAGACAAAGGACACUGGCAAUGCUGGGGACACCUGGAGCUGGAGAACCCAAUUUCAGUUCAGGGUCUUCCUUUCCCUUGAGGCCACGGAGUGCACGGAGCGCACGGAGAGCACGGAGAGCACAGAGCGCAAGGAGCACAGGAGUCCCUUUCUGUAUGCUUUGCAGCAGGGUGGUGCUAUGCAGCCCAGGCAGGACUUGAACUCUGAUCCUCUUGUCUCAGUCUCCCAAGUUUGAGAUCAUAGGUGUACAACAUGACACCACCACACAACUGUGUGUUCUUUUUUUUUUUUUUUUUUUUUUUUUUUUUUUAAUGUUUUAGUGUCUGUCCCUCAGCAGGAUUCACUCAGAUGUCCUUAAAGAUCCUCCAGACUAGGAAGAAGAUAAAGCUGAAACCAGAAGAAAGAGUUGCUAAUAGCCCAUGGAUGGACUAAUCCUUUAACCCUGGAGUCAUUCUGGGAGUGGAGAGCGGGGCAAAAUAAAGCAAAUAAUAAAAUACAGGAGGGCCCCUGGCCCGGGGCGGUGGGGGUGAUGGGAGUUGGAGUCACUCGCCUGUCAGGACCUAUAUCAACAUGUCAGCCACUUGGACAAACAAGCGUUUCGAGGGGAAAUAUUUCAGAUAAACAGACACGAUGUUAUGACAUAUCACCCCCCCCCAACCCUGGAAGGGGGUCCUCGGAGACCAAGGAGAAGAAGAAAGGAAGCAACGCCAUGCAGAGAUCUGUUUUCCCUGGCUUGAGGCCCCGAGGGUCAGC